rnacentral:rRNA from 1 species
UACGUAGGGUGCAAGCGUUGUCCGGAAUUAUUGGGCGUAAAGAGCUCGUAGGCGGUCUGUCGCGUCGGCUGUGAAAACCCGGAGCUCAACUCCGGGCCUGCAGUCGAUACGGGCAGACUGGAGUUCGGCAGGGGAGACUGGAAUUCCUGGUGUAGCGGUGAAAUGCGCAGAUAUCAGGAGGAACACCGGUGGCGAAGGCGGGUCUCUGGGCCGCUACUGACGCUGAGAAGCGAAAGCAUGGGGAGCAAACAGG